rnacentral:rRNA from 1 species
UACGUAGGGUGCGAGCGUUGUCCGGAAUUAUUGGGCGUAAAGAGCUCGUAGGCGGUCUGUCGCGUCGAUCGUGAAAACUUGGGGCUUAACCCUGAGCUUGCGGUCGAUACGGGCAUGACUGGAGUUCGGCAGGGGAGACUGGAAUUCCUGGUGUAGCGGUGAAAUGCGCAGAUAUCAGGAGGAACACCGGUGGCGAAGGCGGGUCUCUAGUACGGUACUGACGCUGAGACGCGAAAGCGUGGGGAGCGAACAGG